rnacentral:lncRNA from 1 species
CCAUGACACAAGGAGUGGAGGAGGGGAUGAGAAUCAGUAUUUACAAAGACGCCACUCUGUGCUGGGCAUCUGGCACAGCACAUAUCCAUUGCAAGUCACGAGUGUAGAAGAACUCAGCUCCAUCUCUUGAUGAGUGGAGUGGCAUGGAUGUUCAGGAAGAGAAGAAAUUAACGGCAGCUGUCUUGGGAAGUGAUCUACCACAGAGCCACAGUGAGAUGUGCGUGCUGUGGGGAGUGAGGAGCGUGUACUGCAUGAAGAAACAGAGCAGUUAGUGUGCUCUCAUGCGAGCUGAUGCUCACGGGAAACCAGAAGUUUGAGAACCAGAAGAGUGCAGGAAGAACUAGAAGGAAGACCACCAGGGAGGACCCCAAAAAGAAACUUGGGCGGGCUUGGUAGAGCUCCACCUGGACUGAAGGGUUAAUAACCCACAUAAGGUAAGUCUAAAUAACCCAGAUUCAAGAAAAUAUUUAAAAUCAAAGGAGCUGUGCUUUCUUUGUAAUACAGAGGGAGAGAUGUAAUGGAAAUAGCCUCGCACCCCAUCCCUCCUUACUUUCUGUUAUCUUUUUUUUUUUCUGCUUUAUCUCCCCAAACCCCCCCGUACAUAGUUGUAUAUCUUAGUUGCAGGUCCUUCUAGUUGUGGGAUGUGGGACGCCACCUCAACAGAGCCUGACGAGCGGUGCCAUAUCCGCACCCAGGAUCCGAACCCUGGGCCGCCGCAGCAGAGCUCGCAAACUUAACCACCCGGCCACGGAGCC